GUGGGAGGCGAAGGCCUUCCCGCAGUGCUUGCACUUGAAUGGCCGCUCUCCGGAAUGCUGUCGGAUAUGCGUGCGCAAAAUACUGGAGGCCGUGAAGGCCUGAAAGGAGAACAAUGACAACAUGCUUGAAAUAUUGUGUGAGGUCUGUGUUUCUCGUGGACGUGCAAGAUGUGAAUCCUCAGCCUGUCUCGCUUCUCGAAGGACCUGCUGCAGAGUAUUUGUAGGCAAACACUUUCCCACACCUGUCACACUUGAAGCCUUCGCCAGAAUCUUUUGAAACGACACAAAUCCACUUUUAAUGAGGAGAAGGACGCACAAAAGGGAGAUGGUCUCACCUUCAGUGGAAGGAAGCAAGCUGUGGUCUUGUCCACAGUCCCUGAGUGUGAGCGGGAUGCCCAGAAACUGCAGGCUUCAUAGAAGAUCUGACCCUGGAUCUGCACUGCAAUGAGGUUCUGCUCCUCUGGGAACCUGGCACACUUCACUAAGGACAUCCAGUUGCCCGUCCCCCCUCUUCCGUCCACAAAAUGACUCAAGCGUCCAUUCUCAAACACCUGCAGGACAACAUGAGCAUAUAUAAAAAACAGCCUUCAAUCACUUCAAGGUGAACUUUGGUGUCCUCUCCACACCUC